UGACAACCCAGAGGCUCUAAGACAGGUGUCCCCAACCCUAGUCUGUGGCUCAUUAGGAACAGGUUGCCCAGCAGGAGGUGAGUGAGUGGUGGGCGAGUGAGCAAAGCUUCAUCUGUGUUUUUACAACCAUCACUCGCAUUACUGCCCGAGCUGUGCCUCCUGUCAGAUCAGCGCAGCAUUAGAUUCUCAUAGGAGUGGGAACUCUAUUGUGAACUGAGCAAGUGAGGGAUCUAGGUUGCAUGCUUCUUAUGAGAAUCUAAUGCCUGAUGAUCUGUCACUGUCUCCUAUCUCAUCUAAUUGCAGGAAAACAAGCUCAGGGCUCCCACUGAUUGUACAUUAUGAGACGGAGUCUUGCUAUGUUGCCCAGGCUGGUCUUGAACUCCUCACCUCAAGCGAUCCUCCCGUCUUGGCCUCCCAAGUGUCAGGAUUACGGGCAUGUGCUAUCACACCCAACCUGAUACAUUGCCUUUAUAAAUUUUUUUUUCUUUAUUCUAAAAACCAGAAAAAACAAAACUGGAUACAUGUGCAGAACAUGCAGACCAAGUGUGUUGGGGACUUGAGAUGCGUACAUGAGUGUGAUGUUUCCUGCUGAAAGCACAGGUGAGACGUGGUCUUGUAACACAGUGGUUAAGAAUGUGACUUUGGAGCCAGCCUGCUAGGGGCUGAAUUCUGACUCAGCCAUUUACUAACUGUGUGACCUUAGGUAAGUCAUUUACCUUCUUUGUCCCUCAGUUUCAUCUCGGUUAAGUAGGGAUAAUGAUAGCACCUAUUUUAUAGGGUUAUUGUGAGGAAUAAAUCCAAGUAAAAUGCUUAGAAUAGUAACUGAAACAUAGCACUCAUUAGGAAUGCUUUAAUUUUCAU
rnacentral:lncRNA from 1 species